rnacentral:ncRNA from 2 species
ACUACAUAUAGUAUUUAGGGUUUUUUGAUUCGUAAGGAUUGAAAACGAAGAGGGAAUUUGGAAUAGUAUACAUUUUUAAAAGAUAUUUAUCUUAUUAAGGUGGAUAUUAUCACUGAUAAAAAUGUCUAUUAAAGCCAAAGCUGCCCCCGCAACUGUAAAUGGUUUGUGGUGAUCAAAUACCACUGAAGUUUUAUCUUUGGGAAGGUGAUCAUCAUAAUAAACUAUGAGCCAGGAGACCUGCCUUAAAUCAAUUUUGUUA